rnacentral:rRNA from 1 species
AGCUCACUGGUCGAGUCGGCCUGCGCGGAAGAUGUAACGGGGCUAAGCGAUACACCGAAGCUGCGGCAAUGUCCUUAUGGAUAUUGGGUAGGGGAGCGUUGUGUAAGCUGUUGAAGGUGUGCUGAGAGGCAUGCUGGAGGUAUCACAAGUGCGAAUGCUGACAUGAGUAACGAUAAAGGGGGUGAAAAACCUCCUCGCCGGAAGACCAAGGGUUCCUGUCCAACGUUAAUCGGGGCAGGGUAAGUCGGCCCCUAAGGCGAGGCCGAAAGGCGUAGUCGAUGGGAAACGGGUUAAUAUUCCCGUACUGCUGCUUACUGCGAUGGGGGGACGGAGAAGGCUAGGUGGGCCUGGCGAUGGUAGUCCAGGUUCAAGUGCGUAGGCUGAUUUCUUAGGCAAAUCCGGGAAAUCAAGGCCGAGACACGAUGUCGAGCCACCAAGGUGGUGAAGUCAUUGAUGCCAUGCUUCCGGGAAAAGCCUCUAAGCUUCAGGUAAGUAGCAACCGUACUCCAAACCGACACAGGUGGUCGGGUAGAGAAUACCAAGGCGCUUGAGAGAACUCGGGUGAAGGAACUAGGCAAAAUGGUACCGUAACUUCGGGAGAAGGUACGCUGCCCGCGGUGAAGUCCCUUGCGGAUGGAGCUAUGGGCAGUCGCAGAUACCAGGUGGCUGCAACUGUUUAUUAAAAACACAGCACUGUGCAAAAUCGAAAGAUGACGUAUACGGUGUGACGCCUGCCCGGUGCCGGAAGGUUAAUUGAUGUGGUUAUCGCAAGAGAAGCCAUUGAUUGAAGCCCCGGUAAACGGCGGCCGUAACUAUAACGGUCCUAAGGUAGCGAAAUUCCUUGUCGGGUAAGUUCCGACCUGCACGAAUGGCGUAAUGAUGGCCACGCUGUCUCCACCCGAGACUCAGUGAAAUUGAAAUCGCAGUGAAGAUGCUGUGUACCCGCGGCUAGACGGAAAGACCCCGUGAACCUUUACUACAGCUUGGCACUGAACAUUGAGCCUACAUGUGUAGGAUAGGUGGGAGGCUUUGAAGCGGCGACGCCAGUUGCUGUGGAGCCAUCCUUGAAAUACCACCCUUGUAUGUUUGAUGUUCUAACUUAGCCCCCUUAUCGGGGGUGAGGACAGUGCCUGGUGGGUAGUUUGACUGGGGCGGUCUCCUCCCAAAG